ACCCUCACACACCCCCCUGCGCACGUGCCAGUCCUAAACAAAACGUACACACACACUUUUUCUGGUUUCAAAAGCACCCCAUGCAGAGACACACACACCCCUUUUUUGUUUUGUUUUGAAACACACACACACAAUUACCCUCCCUCACACGCACACACCCCCCUGCGCACGCACACGUCUUUCCGGAAUUCCUUUUUUCUCAAGCGCUGCCUGGGGAUGGCUCGAAAAUGCAUAGCCCCUAACUUUAAAGGGUUGUCACUGAACCCCAACCGCCGUCUGUGUCCAACUCCCCAGCGUCAAGACUCGCCCUCCUGGUUUUGACGCUUGCGUGUCCUGAUGCCGAAUCUGCCUGCCUGACCACUCUGCCUGUUCUGACCUCGAGCUUGCCUAUCCCCUUGUACUGUUUGGACUCGGACCUGUUCACUGAACCCCUGCCUGUCCUGACCUCGAGCCUGCCUAUCCCCUGGUACUGUUUGGACUCUGACCUGGUUUAUGAACGCUCGCCUGUCCCCGACCUGCCUUUUGCCUACCCCUUUUGGUGUAAUAAAUAUCGGAGCUCAACCAUCUGCCUCCUGUGUCUGCAUUUGGGUCUCGCCUUGUGCCCUUAUAGUACGAACUGGCCAUGACAGACCCAGCAGACUGGGACCAGCUCCGUCACGCUGUCUCCCUGCAGGAAGCCACCAUUGGGAGGCAUGAGGAGCUACUCCUGGACCUUUUGGAAGGGCUUCGUUCCCUGACGGAACGCCACGACCAAGGGUUCAAGGCUAUAAUGGAGCAAAUCAGUGAGUUAGCUCAUAGGCAGCCCGCCACCUCUGAGACCUCCCAACCACCCAGUAACCUUUCUACUACUAGUGGAUUUGUUCAACCUACCCUGGAUCCUCGAGAACCCCUCUUACCUCCUCCGGAGCAUUAUGCAGGCAAUCCUGGUACCUGCUGGGCGUUCCUUUCCUAGUGCUCCCUCAUUUUCAAACUCUAGCCCUCUUCAUUCCUGUCGGACCGAUCGAAGAUAGCGUAUUUAAUCACGCUCAGUGGGAGCAGCAAUCCACUGUGUGCCAUAGCCUGAAGGAAUUCAUGGCAGAAGUGAAGGUUUUCAAUUCUCCGGUGCCUUGGAGUGAGGUGGCUCGAAAACUACUGCGACUACAAGCUCCCAGCUCGGGAAAUACCACGGGACCUCGAUUCUCUCAUCGCCCUGGCGAUUAGGAUUGAUGGGCGCCUACGAGAACACCGGUGUGAGAGGAUGUCGGGUCUCGGAAACACUCGUACGUCUGCUGAUGCUGGUGCCCAUCCGAAGGAAUCUGGAAAUCCCCGAAGUUGGAAUUUCCGAGGAGAGCUGAAAACACCCGAGGUUCCCAGAGAAUCAUCGGCGACGGAUAUGGAAAGCUGUGAAAGCCUGUUUGCAGAUGAAGAGAGUGUUCUAAUGAAUGUCCCAAGAGACUAAUGGCACAUUUUCAUAUCAGAUUUACCCGAGUGUUUUACUCAAAAGGCUCAGACUUUUCUGCUUCCAUCUACGAGGCCUGGCACCCGUUUCUUAGUGGGCCAUGGCUCCGGCAGACCUGCUCUCCCUUGGGUCCAAAGCCAGGCCACUGGUACUUUUGAGCUGGCAUUUACACAACAAUGACUAACUGUGAACUUGAACACCUUCUGACAAAGCAACUGUGUAUACAACAUUUGCUAACAUCGUGUAGGCCUACCUAUAUGUUAGCACAUGUUGUACACAAAAACAAAGUUAAACAUCACACACAAUGUCUAAACCUAUUACAAUUGGAGCAGGCCAACCAUGCUGGAGGUCUGCUGGGUGUGCAGGGUUCUCUUUCAGCCAAGCAACAACACAUCCGAUGUAACUUAUCAAACCUAAUGAGUUGAUAAUCAAGUGUGCUAUUGCUGGGCUGGAACAGAAUCUCUGCUCACCCAGUAGAUCAGGAAUCUUGCUUACCUGAAAUUAUGCUUUAGUAAUAAUAGCCUACUUGUUACUACUCGAUGAUCUACUAUUGUUUAGACAUACAAGUUAGCUUAUUUGUAAAUGUUUUGUUGAUGGUGUUGAUUCUUUGAAGUGAAGUGUUUAAACUUGUUUUAAUUGUUAAACUGUUCAAAAUGAACUAGUGCCAAUGUUGCUGCCAUAAAGAGGGGAAGGGAUUCUGUCUCUAAUGCGUCUGUGUUUUUCUCUAAUGAACAUGUCCUUUUUGUCUUGUAAGAUCUCCAAUCUGUUUUAUUUGAUUGUCACUCUGUCUCAGUAUAUCGGCUAUCUGAAUCCAUUUUG
rnacentral:lncRNA from 1 species